CUCGGCCUGUGGUACAGACCUAUUUAUGCACGACAUUUUGAGUAAAGUAGUUCAAAUUUAAAGCGUUAUCCUAGAUAGCUCUUCACUGACGAAUUUCCUUUCUAGUGCCUCCAUAAGUAACUGAUGACCGGCUAUUUCUUGCCCAUGGUGGCGUAAAUUUAAUAUUGUAGGAAUUAAACAUGUCUAACAUGAUCAAAGGUCAAGUGAAGUGGUUCAACGAGUCUAAAGGUUUCGGUUUCAUCACUCCAGCAGACGGCAGCAAAGAUGUGUUCGUACACUUCUCUGCUAUCCAGGAUCAAGGCUUCAAGACCCUGGCUGAAGGCCAGAACGUACAGUUCUCUAUCGAGAACGGUGCUAAAGGUCCGUCAGCGGCUAACGUUACCGCUAUCUAAUCGGCCUCUCGCUGAUUAAUAAAAACCCGCCAAGGCGGGUUUUUUUGU
rfam:Serratia proteamaculans 568, complete genome.